rnacentral:rRNA from 1 species
UACGGGGGGGGCGAGCGUUGUCCGGAAUCAUUGGGCGUAAAGAGCGUGUAGGCGGCCCGGUAAGUCCGCUGUAAAAGUCAAAGGCUCAACCUUUGAAUGUCAGUGGAUACUGCCGGGCUAGAGUCCGGAAGAGGCGAGUGGAACUCCUGGUGUAGCGGUGGAAUGCGCAGAUAUCAGGAAGAACACCAACGGCGAAGGCAGCUCGCUGGGACGGUACUGACGCUGAGACGCGAAAGCGUGGGGAGCGAACAGG